CCAACAUGGAUACACCGGGAGGUCACUCUCCCUGGGCUCUGCCCAGGUGGUAGAGGGGAGCAUAGGGCUCUGCUCCAUGAUAUACAGUCCCUUUCCACAAUACUAGAGAAGAAGCUGGGCCUUGUGUCUAUGUCUGCAUAUUCCUACAACUUCUCAGAGUCCAUUGGGCAGUGACUGAGGAGAUAAACCAUGCAGGAAACAAAG
ensembl:snoRNA SNORA73 Small nucleolar RNA SNORA73 family